rnacentral:rRNA from 1 species
AUACGUAGGUGACAAGCGUUAUCCGGAUUUACUGGGCGUAAAGGGCGUGUAGGCGGUCUUGCAAGUCAGAAGUGAAAUUCCUGAGCUCAACUCGGGCGCUGCUUCUGAAACUGCAGGACUUGAGUGCUGGAGGGGAUAGCGGAAUUCCUAGUGGAGCGGUAAAAUGCGCAGAUAUUAGGAAGAACACCGGUGGCGAAGGCGGCUAUCUGGACAGUAACUGACGCUGAGGCUGGAAAGCUUGGGGAGCAAACAGGAUGAGAUACCCGGGUAGUCCACGCCGUAAACGAUGAAUACUAGGUGUAGGGGGUAUCGACUCCCUCUGUGCCGCAGUUAACACAAUAAGUAUUCCGCCUGGGGAGUACGGCCGCAAGGUUGAAACUCAAAUGAAUUGACGGGG